GAGGACAGCCAUAUCACCCUGUAGUCCAAGACUGGUUACUCACUGAAACUAAGCAGGGCUGAGCCUGGUCAGUACCUGGAUGGGAGACCACAUGGGAAAACUAGGCUGCUUUUAGAA
rnacentral:rRNA from 1 species